AGAACUUGCUCCAUCCAGAGAUGUAAGCCUUACUUUCCCUAUACCUUGGUGUAACUGCUGGAUUUGUACUUCAGUUUUGAUUGAAACCCUUGCCUGGGAAACAAAAGGGACAGCAAGGUUAUCAACUGAUGUCACUACCCUAACAUCCAAUGUGCUGCACAGAAGAGGAACAUUGCUAGAAAUCAUAUCCUAGCUACACAAAGGUGAACAAAAGACAAAAAGCUUGGCCCUGCUCACAGCCUGGCAAGGCUUCCUUAGGAGGAGGACACAUUAUCCUUGGAGCAAGAGAAAACAUAUACUGAAGUGAAAGCAUGUCAAAGAAACCUGUGGGUGA